CAGAUACGAGGCUACACGACCCCGCUGAGGUGGCUGCUCUUAGACCUCACUCAUGGAUGACAGCUGGACUUCGGUGUGGCCGGCAAAACGUGACAGAUACAGUAAAGAAUGAAGAGGAAGGGAACCACCAGCAGCUUUUCCCAGCCUAAAAGAAGAGAGGAGGAAGAGCAUCCCAGAGAGGAGAUGGAGGAGGAAGAGUUCAGAGAAAGAAAUGAAGGCAUGCAGAGCUCAGACAGUGAAAGACAAAAGCUGAUGAAGGAUGAUUUUCCGCUGACGAAACAACAGCAGAGGCACACAACUGACAUGUGAAACCAGACACGCCUUUCUCCAGAGGCAGACGCAUGGAGAAUUUCCAGCAUACCAGUCGAUUCAUGAGAUCCUGUUCACAUCCUCAGCAUCUCCUCGGGCUGCAGUGGCAGGGUGUGUGAGCCAGACAACAGCCUCUCAGUCCCAUCACAACAAAGGUAACCAGCCACUCACACACCUCAGGGCCUCCAUGCAAGUUUCAAUACACUGGGUGGACGAAUCACACCGGCACGAAACUGGCAGCUGGGAGAGAACAGGAAUCUGAGACAGGAGGAGGAGCUUUUGUUUUUUUUUAAUGUUGCUGUUUGUGUGUUUUGGUGUGGCGCCGUGUGUGUUCAUCCCUCUGCCUGUGUGAGUGUGUGUCUCAUUGCAGCUGUGCAACCAGCCACUGUGUUGACAGUGCCAGUCCAAACACAAACAUCAUUGGUUUUUAAUGAUGUGAUUAUCAGGCAGCACACACACACACACACACACACACACACACACACACACAAACAACAUGGAUCUGAGUGAGAAGAAACACAAAGCACAUUUGAUUAAUGUGCUUAAUUAACACAAAGAUGUAAUAAACUGUUUGAAAUUC